CCUACGGGAGGCAGCAGUGAGGAAUAUUGGUCAAUGGACGAGAGUCUGAACCAGCCAAGUAGCGUGAAGGAUGACUGCCCUAUGGGUUGUAAACUUCUUUUAUAAAGGAAUAAAACGAGGCACGUAUGCAUUUUUGCAUGUACUUUAUGAAUAAGGAUCGGCUAACUCCGUGCCAGCAGCCGCGGUAAUACGGAGGAUCCGAGCGUUAUCCGGAUUUAUUGGGUUUAAAGGGUGCGUAGGUUGUUUUUUAAGUCAGCGGUGAAAGUUUGUGGCUCAACCAUAAAAUUGCCGUUGAAACUGGAAGACUUGAGUGUGUUUGAGGUAGGCGGAAUGCGUGGUGUAGCGGUGAAAUGCAUAGAUAGCACGCAGAACUCCGAUUGCGAAGGCAGCUUACUAGGCCAUAACUGACACUGAAGCACGAAAGCGUGGGGAUCAAACAGGAUUAGAUACCCUAGUAGUC
rnacentral:rRNA from 1 species